rnacentral:rRNA from 1 species
GAUUAACGCUGGCGGCGUGCCUAAUACAUGCAAGUCGAGCGAAUGGAUUAAGAGCUUGCUCUUAUGAAGUUAGCGGCGGACGGGUGAGUAACACGUGGGUGACCUGCCCAUAAGACUGGGAUAACUCCGGGAAACCGGGGCUAAUACCGGAUAACAUUUUGAACCGCAUGGUUCGAAAUUGAAAGGCGGCUUCGGCUGUCACUUAUGGAUGGACCCGCGUCGCAUUAGCUAGUUGGUGAGGUAACGGCUCACCAAGGCAACGAUGCGUAGCCGACCUGAGAGGGUGAUCGGCCACACUGGGACUGAGACACGGCCCAGACUCCUACGGGAGGCAGCAGUAGGGAAUCUCCCGCAAUGGACGAAAGUCUGACGGAGCAACGCCGCGUGAGUGAUGAAGGCUUUCGGGUCGUAAAACUCUGUUGUUAGGGAAGAACAAGUGCUAGUUGAAUAAGCUGGCACCUUGACGGUACCUAACCAGAAAGCCACGGCUAACUACGUGCCAGCCGCCGCAGUAA